GAUGAACGCUGGCGGCGUGCCUAAUACUUGCAAGUCGAGCGAACAGACGAGGAGCUUGCUCCUCUGACGUUAGCGGCGGACGGGUGAGUAACACGUGGAUAACCUACCUAUAAGACUGGGAUAACUUCGGGAAACCGGAGCUAAUACCGGAUAAUAUAUUGAACCGCAUGGUUCAAUAGUGAAAGACGGUUUUGCUGUCACUUAUAGAUGGAUCCGCGCCGCAUUAGCUAGUUGGUAAGGUAACGGCUUACCAAGGCAACGAUGCGUAGCCGACCUGAGAGGGUGAUCGGCCACACUGGAACUGAGACACGGUCCAGACUCCUAUGGGAGGCAGCAGUAGGGAAUCUUCCGCAAUGGGCGAAAGCCUGACGGAGCAACGCCGCGUGAGUGAUGAAGGUCUUCGGAUCGUAAAACUCUGUUAUUAGGGAAGAACAAAUGUGUAAGUAACUAUGCACGUCUUGACGGUACCUAAUCAGAAAGCCACGGCUAACUACGUG
rnacentral:rRNA from 1 species